ACACCGUUGGUGAAACGGUAUCAUGCACCGUUGCCAUUGGACUCAACUCCUUACAACGACUCGGUGCGGCAAGGGUUCGACUCCCUUACGGUGUA